UACGUAGGGGGCAAGCGUUGUCCGGAUUUAUUGGGCGUGAAGAGCGUGUAGGCGGUCUGACAAGUCCGUUGUGAAAACUAGAGGCUUAACCUCUAGACGUCGAUGGAAACUGUUUGGCUAGAGUCCGGAAGAGGAGAAUGGAAUUCCUGGUGUAGCGGUGAAAUGCGCAGAUAUCAGGAAGAACACCCGUGGCUAAGGCGGUUCUCUAGUACGGUACUGACGCUGAGACGCGAAAGCGUGGGGAGCGAACAGG
rnacentral:rRNA from 1 species